CCUACGGGUGGCAGCAGUGGGGAAUAUUGGGCAAUGGGCGCAAGCCUGACCCAGCAAUGCCGCGUGAGGGAAGAAGGCUUUCUGGUUGUAAACUUCUUUGACUGGGGAAGAGCAGCAGACGGUACCCUGACAACAAGCCACGGCUAACUACGUGCCAGCAGCCGCGGUAAUACGUAGGUGGCAAGCGUUGUCCGGAUUUCUUGGGUGUAACGGGCGUGUAGCCGGGAAGGCAAGUCAGAUGUGAAAUCUGGAGGCUCAACCUCGAAAUUGCAGUUGAAACUGUUUUUCUUGAGUACGGGAGAGGCAGACGGAAUUCGUGGUGUAGCGGUGAAAUGCGUAGAUAUAAGGAGGAACACCAGUGGCGAAGGCGGUCUGCUGGACAGCAACUGACGGUGAGGCGCGAAAGCGUGGGGAGCAAACAGGAUUAGAUACCCUAGUAGUC
rnacentral:rRNA from 1 species